rnacentral:rRNA from 1 species
GACGAACGCUGGCGGCGUGCCUAAUACAUGCAAGUCGAACGCUUCUUUCCUCCCGAGUGCUUGCACUCAAUUGGAAAGAGGAGUGGCGGACGGGUGAGUAACACGUGGGUAACCUACCCAUCAGAGGGGGAUAACACUUGGAAACAGGUGCUAAUACCGCAUAACAGUUUAUGCCGCAUGGCAUAAGAGUGAAAGGCGCUUUCGGGUGUCGCUGAUGGAUGGACCCGCGGUGCAUUAGCUAGUUGGUGAGGUAACGGCUCACCAAGGCCACGAUGCAUAGCCGACCUGAGAGGGUGAUCGGCCAAACUGGGACUGAGACCCGGCCCAGACUCCUACGGGAGGCAGCAGUAGGGAAUCUUCGGCAAUGGACGAAAGUCUGACCGAGCAACGCCGCGUGAGUGAAGAAGGUUUUCGGAUCGUAAAACUCUGUUGUUAGAGAAGAACAAGGACGUUAGUAACUGAACGUCCCCUGACGGUAUCUAACCAGAAAGCCACGGCUAACUACGUG